AACAGGGAUGGGGGCAAGAAAAGAUUGGAGCUGAGGCUGGGUGGGGUGGCUCACGCCUGUAAUCCCAGCACUUUGGGAGGCCGAGGGUGGGUGGAUCACCUGAGGUCAGGAGUUCCAGACCAGCCUGACCAAUACAGUGAAAUCCUGUCUCUACUAAAAAUACGAAAAUUUUUUGUAUUGGUGACAUGUGCCUGUAAUCCCAGCUACUCGAGAGGCUGAGACAGGAGAAUUGCUUGAACCCAGGAGUUGGAGGUUGCAGUGAGCCGAGAUCACGCCAUUGCACUCCAGCCUGGAUGACAGAGCGAGACUCUGUCUCAAAAAAAAAAAAAAAAAAAGACUGGAGUUGAGAAAUCUGUUGGUGGAGAAUGCAAAUCACAGGUGGAAGACAAGAAGCACUACCCUCCUGGUGACAGAAAAUGUGCCCCAAUGUUAGGCAGUGGAGUACAUAACAUCAUACCUGUUUUCAUUCCCAGAAUAGGACAGAAACUUACUAUAACUGAGUCAAUCAAACAUCUUUGAGUUUCCACUGCACCAGGUCUCAGAGCCUUUCUUAUGAAAAGAAGCUCACUAGGUCCAAUCUUACCUGGCCCCCUGGGGAUACUGUGGGGCUUGAUAGGGUAACCAUCUGUUCUGGUUUACUCAGGACUGAGGGGUUUCCAGGGAUGUGGGACUUUUGGUGUUAACUGGAACAGUCCUGGGCAAACAAAAAUGAGGUGGUCACUCUACACCACAUUGCACACGAAAGAAAGCCAAAGCUCAGGUUACUACCUUGCUACUCAAUGUGUAGUCCCUGGGCUUGCAAGGUAGGCACCACGAAGGAGCCUGUUAAAGAUGCAAAAUCUAGCAGGGUGUAAUGGCUCAUGCUUAUAAUCCCAGCACUUUCGGAGGCUGAGGUAAAAGGAUUGCUUGAGCCUGGGAGGCGGAGGUUUCAGUGAGCUAUGAUCACGUCACUGCACUCUAGCCUGGGCAACAGAGCAAGACCCUGUCUCAAAAAAAAAAAAAAAAAAAAAAAAAAGAUGCAGAAUCUCGGCUAGGUGUAGUGGCUUGCGCGUAUAAUCCCAGUGCUUUGGGAGGCUGAGGUGGGUUGAUCACUUGAGAUCAGGAGUUCGAGACUGGUCUGGCCAACAUGGUGAAACCUCAUCUCUACUAAAACUACAAAAAUUAACCAGGUGUGGUGGCAGGAGCCUGUAACCCCAGCUACUCAGGAGGCUGAGGCAGGAGAAUUGCUUAAACCUAGGGGGCAGAGGUUGCAGUGAGCCAAAAUUGCACCACUGCACUCCAGUCUGGGCAGCAGAGUGAGACUCUGUCUCAAAAAAAAAAAAAAGAUGUAGAAUCUCAAAUCUCAAGCCCCACCUUGAUCUGAUGAAUGAGAACCCACAUUUCAACCUGAUUCCUGGGGACCUGUGCCCAUCGGGUGUGAGGAACAUAGGGUUAUUAGAUAAAAUUUGUUCCUUCAGCAUCCAUGAGUCUGUGCAUGUGCUAUUUUAUUUUGACUGUUUCAAUAUCAGAAGAAACCAUCCAAAAUUGGUGCCAAGUGAAUUAUAGCUUUUUAUGACCAUUUACAACACCACACUGCAAGAAGGCUAAAGAGUGAUUUUGUUUCCUCUCUUCAUUCUCUUCUCCAGAUUUCAAGAAACAGAAUGCAGCAGUCCAGAACAUUUUGACUCUAGUGGUUGCUUUGCCAGGAUUUCUCAACCUGAGCGCCACUGGCAUUCUGCGCGGCACAUUCCUUGCUGUGGGGCUGUCCUGUGCAUGGUAGGAUGUUUGGCAGCAUCCCUGGCCUCUGCCUACUAGAUGCACCUGUUAUUGCACCUCCUCCCAGUUGUGACAGCCAAAAAUGUCUCCAGACAUUGCCCGAUGUCUCCUAAGGGGCCAAACAGCCCCCAGUCAAGAACCACUGGCUUAGACAAAGAAGACAUGCUCAUGGAAAUAAGAGCCAAAAGCAGACAUGAGGGAGCUUGUGCUUGCCAGGAGUUUGUUAAAGUCUUGAAAACUAUGUUCGGCAUGGCACGGUGGCUCACGUCUGUAAUCCUAGCACUUUGGGAGGCCAAAGAGGGAGGAUCGCUUGAGCCCAGGAGUUUGAAACCAGUCUGGGCAACAUAGGGAAACCCUGUCUCUACAUAAAAUUAGAAAAUUAGCCGGGCGUGGUGGCACACACGUGUGGUCCCAGCUACUCAACAGGCUGUGGCAGGAGAAUCGCUUGAUCCCUGGAGGUGGAGGCUGCAGUGAGCUGAGGUCACACCACUGCACUCCAGCUUGGGUGACAGAGCGAGGCCCUGUCCAAAAAAAAGAAAAAAAAAAAAAACCCUGAAAACAAGGCCACACUGAUACCCAACAGGCUUCUGGAGAGAACCAGCUGGGUGACCUGCAGGCCCACCCCAUGUCGAAGGGGAAGCUGUCUGCCAGUGACACUAAUGAAGACAAGCAGUCCCCAGUUGCCAGGGCUCAAGCCGUCUGCCCCACCACUUACAGCUGCUCUUUGUUAUUUCAGCCACAGAGUGCAAGAAAGACCUUUUGCCGUUUUAUUAGUGUGCCAUGCUGAACGAUAUUAGAGGUUUCCUAGCAGCAUUGUUAAAAAAAAAAAAAAAAAAAAAAGACUGAGUAGUUGACGUUAGAAUCACCAGAGUGAACCAUCUGGCUCAGUCCCCCACCAUCAUCACAUGAGGCAGAAGGCCAUACCAGAUGGGGCACUUGCAGAGCUGGUCCCUGCUGUGAGCAGGUGCUGUUUAGUGUCUGGGUAGCCCCAGGAGGCUUAUGGACUGAGAAACCAUUCCCAUCUCUGCCUCCGGGCUGGCCUGGGCCACACCCUUCCUCAAGGCAUGUAAAGGAGGUUAACUACUCCAUUUGUCAAUUUUAAGAUGCACUUUCUCCUCCCUGCUCCCACCCCCAGUUCAGCAUCUUGGAAAUCUGGAUUCAUCUUACAGCAAUAGGACAAUGGCCAUCAGACAGGUAUAAGGUGGGAUGCAGCCAUCAGGGCCUGACGACGCGCCAAUGUCAAAAGCACCUGCAAAAAACUCUCAGGAUAGUCCAGAAGGUUUGGAGGGAAAUCCAAGAGGAGUGCCCUUUUGGCCCAUAAAAGACUGAUGGUCAUAGAGAACGGGCAAGGAGGCAGGGAAUUGGAUGUCUUCAGAAACAUUCCUGAAGGCGCAGAGUGGGCCAACCCUACUCUGCAUGAGUACUACUCAGAGAGUGGUGCCUGGACCAGCAACAUCAGCAUCACCUGGCAGCUGGCAGGAAAUAAAUGCACAUUCUCGAGCUCCAUGCCAGACCUACUGAGUCAGAAUCUCUGGGAGUGGGCCCAGCGCCGUGGCUCACGCCUGUAAUCCCAGCAGUUUGUGAGGCCAAGGCGGGCGGAUCACUUGAGGUCGGGAGUUUGAGACCAGCCUGGCCAAAAUGGUGAAACCUCGCCUCUACAAAAAUACAAAAAUUAGCCAGGUAUGAUGGCGGGUGCCUGUUAUCCCAGCUAUUCAGGAGGCUGAGGUGGGAGAAUUGCUUGAACCCGGGAGGCAGAGGUUGCACUGAGCCAAGGUCGCACCACUGCACUCCAGCCUGGGCAACAGAGAAAGACUCUGUCUGAGAAAGAGACAAAGAGAGACAGAGAAAGAGACAGAGAAAGAGAGAGAAAGAGACAGAAAGAGAGAGAAAGAGACAAAGAGAGAGAGGAAGAGACAGAGAGAGAGAAAGAGACAAACAGAGAGAAAGAGACAAAGAGAGAGAGAGAGAGAAGAGAAAGAGAAAGAGAGAAAGAAAAAGAAAAGAGAAAGAAAGAAA
rnacentral:lncRNA from 1 species